GUGAUACCGCUGUUCUGGACUUGAAGCAUUGAAGACGCUAGAGAUCACGUGAGCAAACCACACACGAAAAAUGUUCGCAUAAGAUACGGCAAAAAUGUAAAGGUAAUGUCGCUGUUAUGGACUUGAAGCAUUGAAGAUGCUAGGGAUCACCAGAUCUCCAGAUCCAGUGAGAAAGAAACAAGUAAGAUUGUCUGAACCUAAUUAUUCUUCUAUUAAUGUAAAACUAUUAUCUGUAUUUUUUUAUUUUUACCAGUUUGAUUUUGGUUGAUUUCUAUUUUGCGAUAAGCAUGUUUUCUUGGAUCGAAGGAAAGCAACAAAAGUAAAAUGAAAGUAAUGUAUCAAUGAAAAUUGAUAUACCUAACUGUAUUUCUACACAAUAGAAUAAUAUGUGGAUGAACGAAAAUACUUUUCAAUCAAUGUAAAACUAUUAACUGUAUUUUGUUGUUGUGACCAAUAUUAAAAUUUGUAAUUGCUUAUAGAAUUUUUGUUAAGAGCACAUUGCGAAACACUUUAAUUGGAAUUAAAUUUGUUAAUGAUGGAUCGAGAACAAAAUGAAAGGGCAAAAGCCACAGAGAGGGAACAUGUAAGGAAUAUAAAAUAAUAGAUGCUGUUUUUUAGAUAAAGGUUUGUGUUUUAUCUCACAGUCACACAUUAUUGCGACAACGGCAAAAAUGCUGAAAAUGUUAAUUUAGAUUUUUAGUCCGUAGUUAUAAGUUAUAUUUUGAUUUAUUUAUUAUCCAUUCAAUUAGUUUUAGAUUACUUGUAAGUAACUCUUGUUGUUGAAAAAUUACAUCAGUAAAUACUUAAAUAUGUGAAUAAACUAAUAAGA